rnacentral:rRNA from 1 species
GACAGAGGGUGCAAACGUUGCUCGGAAUCACUGGGCGUAAAGGGCGCGUAGGCGGGGAUGUAAGUCGGGCGUGAAAUCCCCAGGCUCAACCUGGGAACUGCACUCGAAACUGCGUUUCUUGAGUAUCGGAGAGGAAAGCGGAAUUCCUGGUGUAGAGGUGAAAUUCGUAGAUAUCAGGAGGAACACCAGUGGCGAAGGCGGCUUUCUGGACGGUAACUGACGCUGAGGCGCGAAAGCGUGGGGAGCAAACAGG